rnacentral:lncRNA from 1 species
CUAGAACAAAUUUCUACCUCCAUCUGCUACAAAGAGUUACAUCCAUCAGAGGCCUUCCAGAACGGUGGGGUUUGAAGGAAAUGGGACAUGCAUCCAGCAGCUGUAUGGCCGGCCACACCUGCCGGGUGGGAAAGACAUCACUGAGUGCUAGUCCUGAAGGUUGCUCCGUCUCCAAACCAAGGAGGGAACAAAGGAUUUACAUGCCGAGCACCUACCCGGAUGGAAGGAGAGCCUAUCCCCCAUGUCUACCCAUCUCUCAAGCUCCACUUCAUAAAGCCUGCUUGGAACAGCGCCAGCCAAAUCUUAUUCCUCUCCCCUUCAAAUGCCCUACACACCAGGUUUGUACCUUUCUCAUGGCACAGCAUGUGGCUUGUUUUAUAUUCUAGUGAUCUGUUUACUAAUCCUGUUCCUCUAACCAGAUUAGAAAGUCCUUGAGGCAGAAACAAAGUCUGCUUCUUUGAGGCCUCCCCCAUCGCAGGAGCUCAUCCCCACAGGCAAAACUUGGCCCUGGAAUUGAUGUUCAAUAAAUGCUGGGUGUAUUGAAAUAAUUUCCUGCCCUUGGGCAGUUUGCAAGCCAGUUGAAGAGACAAACACACAGUGUGUGAGGUUAAAUAAUA